ACCCAGAGCUGCAGGCACAACCGUUGGUCUAUGAGGUUGACUAAAAAAAUUAAGUUUCCCAACCCAGUUUUUCUAAUGUUCUGUGGUCAUGUGCAUCUCUAUAAUAUUGAAUCUACCUCCAGCUCAGGUGGACUUAGCACUGGGCAUGCACUAGAAGGUGCUUAACCAUUUACAGGCAUCAUGAGUCUCAAGAGGACUGUAUACCUGGUCAGGCAGUUUGUACAGAAGGUGACCAUAUAGUGCUCUUACCAUGUCCCUGGUUGCAGUUCCCCACUUUCCUCUGAGCAUCUCCACGCUGAGCCGUAUACUACUACUUCUCAGAGGCUUGUCCUGACUCUUACUCCUGCUGCUGGCUGGGCUGCUGUCUGCUAUGGGACCCACAUGGCUGAUACUGUUGGACACAAUGAUAUGUGGCAGUAGGAAGAAGAGGGGGGAUACACUGAGAUGUUCCUUUCUCUGAAUCUGUGAAUAAUGAAGAUACCUGCAGGAUAACAGAUCAAUAAAGCAAGACUUAAACUCUAUUCAAAGGGAAUACUACUAUCCUGCAAGCAAGAAGGAUGGCAGAAGACCUGCUAUGGUGUCAUUCCUUAUCACUACUGUCUCAUGUCUUU